UUAACCGUCACACCGCCGAUACCUUCGUCUCUUCUCUCUUUCUCUGAUUUUCUACUUCUCCAUUUCAUCGCCGAUUAAACGCAAAAACGGUCGAUUGCAUCCAGUCAUUUGAUCGUCUCGGUGUUGGAUGCUGGUUUUGAAAAUCUGAUUGAGUAUUGUUCAAUUGGGGGAAAGGGUAAAUAAACAGAAAAAUGAUUGCGGAUUUCCACCUAUUGCGGACAAUCAGCGCCGCGAUGCGCCACCGCCAAAUCGGGGAACGUCUCUCCAAUAUCCACCGCCGCUUAUUACACCUCGGUCCAGACACCGUUGAAGAGCUAUUCGAAAGGCAUGUAGUGAAGGACGAUAACAGGCACCUCGAUGAUGACGAAAAGGAACUUUUGACUCGGCAGCGACUCACCAGCACUCGCCGCGAGGCGCUGAGCCUGUACCGGGAUAUCAUCCGAGCGACUCGGUUCUUCAUGUGGCCUGACUCGCGAGGCGUCCUUUGGCGCGAUGUUUUGAGGGAAAAUGCGCGGAAGGAAUACGAGGCUGCACGGUUUGAGAAGGAUCCGGAGGUAGUGACUCGGCUGCUAAUCGGAGGACGGGAUUCAGUGCAGGCGGCGAUCGAUAAGCUCGUGGAGAAGCAGAAGGAGCAAAUCGAGAAGGAAAGAAAUGAGUCGCGCCGCUGAUGAUGUUAAUGGUGUUAUCCAUAGGAAUGAAGAGGCCAUGCCAUAUAAUUGUUUGUUCAGAUGUAGAAGCCUUCUGAGUGUCCACCGUUUACUUCAACAUUAAAAGCUUGCCACCAACAAAACAUUGUUGUAAGAUUUCAUGUGAAGUUGUAAGAUUUUCCAGCAUUGUCAUUGUAUAAGGGAAAGUUGUAAACUAGGCAGUUUAAUGUUCAUACUUGUUUUUAACCUUUUUUUUCCCUUGGAGAAGGGAAGUUUGUGAAAUAGGCAGGAAAUUAGAUUUACCCAUAUAUCAAAAUAUUCAUUUUGCUUUUUGUAAAGUUACAAAUUGGCCAUUUUUUACUUAAAUGGAGUACUAAUUUUCCCUUCA